UACGGAGGAUGCAAGCGUUAUCCGGAAUUAUUGGGCGUAAAGCGUCCGCAGGUGGUUUUGAAAGUUUGCUGUCAAAGCGCGGAGCUUAACUUCGUACCGGCAGUGAAAACUCCAAGACUAGAGUUUGGUAGGGGUCACGGGAAUUCCCAGUGUAGCGGUGAAAUGCGUAGAGAUCCGGAAGAACACCGGUGGCGAAGGCGGCCUGCUGGGCAGUAGCUGACGCUGAAGCGCGACAGCGUGGGGAGCAAACAGG
rnacentral:rRNA from 1 species